GGUCAGCCACACUGGGACUGAGACGCUGCCCAGACUCCUACGGGAGGCUGCAGUCGAGGAUCAUUGGCAAUGCGCGAAAGCGUGACCAUGCGACGCUGCGUGGAGGAUGAAGGCCUUCGGGUUGUAAACUCCUGUCAUUCGGGAAAAAUGCCGGGCUGGUGAAUAUCCAGCCCGGGUGAUGGUACCGGAAGAGGAAGCCACGGCUAACUCUGUGCCAGCAGCCGCGGUAAUACAGAGGUGGCGAGCGUUGUUCGGAUUUACUGGGCGUAAAGGGUGUGUAGGUGGUUCUGCAUGUCGGAUGUGAAAUCCCACGGCUCAACUGUGGAAUUGCAUCCGAAACUGCAGUGCUAGAGUGCAGGAAGGGAGAGCGGAAUUCUCGGUGUAGCGGUGAAAUGUGUUGAUAUCGAGAGGAACACCGGUGGCGAAGGCGGCUCUCUGGAAUGUUACUGACACUGAGACACGAAAGCUGGGGGAGCAAACAGGAUUAGAUACCCUGGUAGUCCCAGCCCUAAACGGUGUGCACUUGGUGUGGAGGGUGUUGACCCCCUCCGUGCCGGAGCUAACGCAUUAAGUGCACCGCCUGGGGAGUACGGCCGAAGGCUAAAACUCAAAGAAAUUGACGGGGGCCCGCACAAGCGGAGGAGCAUGUGGCUUAAUUCGAUGCUACGCGAAGAACCUUACCAGGGCUUGACAUGCAGCUGCACGUCCCGUGAAAGCGGGAUUCCUUCGAGGGUGCUGCACAGGUGCUGCAUGGCUGUCGUCAGUUCGUGCCGUGAGGUGUUGGGUUAAGUCCCGCAACGAACGCAACCCCUGUGCUUAGUUGCCACCCCCGAUGAUGAGUCGGGGAGCACUCUAAGCAGACUGCCCGUACAAGCGGGAGGAAGGUGGGGACGACGUCAAGUCAGUAUGGCCCUUACGCCCUGGGCUGCACACGUGCUACAAUGGCCGGUACAGAGGGAUGCAAGACCGCGAGGUGGAGCAAAUCCCUAAAAACCGACCUCAGUUCGGAUUGAAGGCUGCAACUCGCCUUCAUGAAGUUGGAUUCGCUAGUAACGGCGCAUCAGCUACGGCGCCGUGAAUACGUUCCCGGGCCUUGUACACACCGCCCGUCACAUCAUGAAAGCCGUCUGCACCCGAAGUCGCUGAUCCAACCCGCAAGGGAGGUAGGCGCCGAAGGUGUGGGCGGUGAUUGGGAUGAAGUCGAAACAAGGUA
rnacentral:rRNA from 1 species